GCGGUUUAGAAUUACUUGGUGCUCCUUACUAUAUCAGCAAUGCUUGAACACGAUGUUCAAGCAAGUUGCCACUGAGCCAUGGAUGGCGAAUUGGCAACGGUUGCGUUCGUAAAGAUGCAUGUUAUAGGAGCACCUAGAAAUUCUUAACUGC
rnacentral:ncRNA from 1 species